UACGUAGGGGGCAAGCGUUGUCCGGAAUCAUUGGGCGUAAAGCGCGUGUAGGCGGACUGGGAGGUCUGGUGUGAAAGCCCGGGGCUCAACCCCGGAGGGUCACUGGAAACCGACAGUCUUGAGUCCGGAAGAGGAGAGUGGAAUUCCUGGUGUAGCGGUGGAAUGCGCAGAUAUCAGGAGGAACACCUAUGGCGAAGGCAGCUCUCUGGUACGUGACUGACGCUGAGACGCGAAAGCGUGGGGAGCGAACAGG
rnacentral:rRNA from 1 species